ACAAGCUCCUGGGUGGUCCCUGGUUCGUGCGGUUGUUCGGUAGUUGAACAGGACAAUGUUAAAAUAGGAGGGGCAUGCAAUCUACCGAACAGAAUAGCAAAAAGGCACAAACAAGGUCUUUUAUGAGCCUCUUUGCAUGGCCCAUAGUCCUGAGGCAGGAGGCUGGCAAACAGGCCCCUCCAAGAACCAGUGGCGAGGUUAAUUUCGCCACAUUCUCCAUA